AUGUCACACACCUUCAAAGAGGUCAAGAAGGAUGAAGAGAAAAAGAUGUUUCAAGAUAUGCUGCUAAGAGAAAAGGAACCAAGCAUGUCCACUGACAUCAUCCUGAAGUGGGGAAUGUGCCUACUAUGUGCCAGGUACUGUGCUGAACACUUUACAAAUAUUAACUUAUUUGAUCCUCCCCCAAAUCCUGAGGGAUUGAUGAUAUAAUUCUUAUUCUACAGUUGAGGAAACUAUGGCAAACAGAGGUUACGUGACUUGCCCAGGGUCACAAAACUAGUAAGUAUCUGAGACCAAGCCAGAGUUCAAAUCUUCAUGACUUUAGGCCCACUUAUCCCUAGCUGAGGAAAAGGGGGUAAAGGUUCCAAAUUGUUUGCCCUGUAAGUGGGCCUGUCAAUUUAACUUGACCAGUAGUGGGAAGCUAAAGGUGGACCUACUUAAGAGCACAGGCUCAGAACUAGAGAAAAAGCUAAACUGGUCAAAGCUAAUUUUUGACUUUUUUUAUCCUAGAUUUAGGACUUAAUUGUUUUGGGAGCUACAAAUUAAAAACUUCUUUUAACAACUCAAGUCAGCACCUUUUCUAAAUCUCAGUCUUGGAGAGUAGAUUGGAGCACUGAAAAGUUAAGUGACUUCUCCACAGUCACAGUCUGUAGGCAACAGAGUCAGAACAUGAAUGUAUGUCUCCCUGUCUUCAGGGCCAACUCUCUAUCCACCACAUCAAUGGCUCUCUAAUAUUUUUGAUUUCAGAAUCCUUUUACACUCUUAAAAAUAACUGAGGACCACAAUGACCUUAUUGUUUGUGUGGAGUAUAUCUAUUGGUAUUUACCACAAUAGUAAUGAAACAUGGUAGUAUUAUAAAAAUAAUUUUGAACUAGAGGACCCCCUGAAAGGGUCCCCGCAGACCACUUUUUGAGUACCACCAUUCUACACCAUGUUGCCUAUCCAAGUAGAAAGCUACUGAGUUAGAAAAAUCCAAAAUUCCAGAAAGCUUUUAAUGGGUCAAUUGCUUCAAGUCACAGCUUAUAUACAGUAUAGUCUAAAGAAUUAACUAUAUAAUUAUGAAAACCAAUCAAAAGAUCUACCUACCAAAAUUUGAUUGAAAAAAAUGAAUCAAAAGGGUAGCUAGGUGACUCAAUGGAUAGAGACCCAGACCUGGAGACAGGAGAUCCAGGGUUCAAAUAUGACUUCAGAUACUUUAUAGCUAUGUGACCCUGAGCAAGUUACUUAACCACUUUUGCCUAGCUCUUACCACUUCUACCUUGGAACUGAUACAUUAAGGGUUAAGACAAAUGAACCAUAAAGGAACCAAGAUAAGAUGAGAGAGCAAGCCAUUUCUGAAGACUAAGAGCAUGGAAAUCAUGGAUAGUAUUGAAGCUUGAAACCACAGAAUACUUACCAAAGUAUCUUUUAUUUCUGGAUGGUUCCAAAGGUAGGCAGUCAAGGAUUUUCCAAACCACAUCCAAUAGGUAUCUCAAGAGACCUGAGAUGGUGGGUCAUAAGAAGAAAGUUUCUGUCUGCUCUCUAGACUCUGUACUAAAACUAAGGGCUGGGGAAAUAGAUUCUAAAACAACAAUAAUAGGCCAACCAUAUACUUAGAUCCAAUGGAACUAAAAACUGGUUAAAAUCAAGGCCUAGAAUGAAAUAAAAAGAAAAGAAGAGAAAGGCA
ensembl:lncRNA